rnacentral:rRNA from 1 species
GAUUAACGCUGGCGGCGUGCAUAACACAUGCAAGUCGAACGAUGAAACUUUAAUGAACCCUUCGGGGAGAAUUAAAGCGGAUUAGUGGCGAACGGGUGAGUAACGCGUGAGUAACCUGCCUUACACAAGGGGAUAGCCUUUGGAAACGAAGAAUAAUACCCUAUAAAACCAUAAAAGCACAUGCAAUUAUGGUCAAAGUGAUAGCGGUGUAAGAUGGACUUGCGUCUGAUUAGCUAGUUGGUGAGAUAAAAGCCCACCAAGGCAACGAUCAGUAGCCGGCUUGAGAGAGUGUACGGCCACAUUGGGACUGAGACACGGCCCAGACUCCUACGGGAGGCAGCAGUGGGGAAUUUUGCACAAUGGGGGAAACCCUGAUGCAGCGACGCCGCGUGAUUUAGAAGGCCUUCGGGUUGUAAAAAUCUUUUGUAUAGGAAGAAAAUGACAGUACUAUACGAAUAAGGUCCGGCUAAUUACGU